rnacentral:rRNA from 1 species
UACGUAGGGGGCAAGCGUUGUCCGGAAUCAUUGGGCGUAAAGAGCGCGUAGGCGGCCCUGUAAGUCCGCUGUGAAAGUCAAGGGCUCAACCCUUGAAUGCCGGUGGAUACUGCAGGGCUAGAGUCCGGAAGAGGCGAGUGGAAUUCCUGGUGUAGCGGUGAAAUGCGCAGAUAUCAGGAGGAACACCGAUGGCGAAGGCAGCUCGCUGGGACGGUACUGACGCUGAGGUACGAAAGCGUGGGGAGCAAACAGG